rnacentral:rRNA from 1 species
GAUGAACGCUGGCGGCGUGCCUAAUACAUGCAAGUCGAGCGAACAGACGAGGAGCUUGCUCCUCUGACGUUAGCGGCGGACGGGUGAGUAACACGUGGAUAACCUACCUAUAAGACUGGGAUAACUUCGGGAAACCGGAGCUAAUACCGGAUAAUAUAUUGAACCGCAUGGUUCAAUAGUGAAAGACGGUUUUGCUGUCACUUAUAGAUGGAUCCGCGCCGCAUUAGCUAGUUGGUAAGGUAACGGCUUACCAAGGCAACGAUGCGUAGCCGACCUGAGAGGGUGAUCGGCCACACUGGAACUGAGACACGGUCCAGACUCCUACGGGAGGCAGCAGUAGGGAAUCUUCCGCAAAGGGCGAAAGCCUGACGGAGCAACGCCGCGUGAGUGAUGAAGGUCUUCGGAUCGUAAAACCCUGUUAUUAGGGAAGAACAAAUGUGCAAGUAACUAUGCACGUCUUGACGGUACCUAAUCAGAAAGCCACGGCUAACUACGUG